rnacentral:rRNA from 1 species
GACGAACGCUGGCGGCGUGCCUAACACAUGCAAGUCGAGCGAAGUGAGUACUACGGUACGAACUUAGCGGCGGACGGGUGAGUAACGCGUGGACAACCUACCCUGUAGACUGGGAUAACACCUCGAAAGGGGUGCUAAUACUGGAUAAUGUCGAGAAGCGGCAUCGCUUUUCGAAGAAAGGAGAGAAAUCCGCUAUAGGAGGAGUCCGCGGCCCAUUAGGUAGUUGGUGAGGGUAACGGUCCACCAAGGCGACGAUGGGUAGCCGGCCGGAGAGUGUGAACGGCCACACUGGAACUGAGACAGGGUCCAGACUCCUACGGGAGGCAGCAGUGGGGAAUAUUGUGCAAUGGGGGAAACCCUGACACAGCAACGCCGCGUGAGCGAAGAAGGCCUUCGGGUUGUAAAGCUCAAUAGUAUGGGAAGAUAAUGACGGUACCAUACGAAAGCCCCGGCUAACUACGUGCCAGCCGCCGCCGUAAGAC